rnacentral:rRNA from 1 species
GACGAACGCUGGCGGCGUGCCUAAUACAUGCAAGUUGAGCGCUGAAGGUUUGUACUUGUACCAACUGGAUGAGCAGCGAACGGGUGAGUAACGCGUGGGGAAUCUGCCUUUGGGCGGGGGACAACAUUUGGAAACGAAUGCUAAUACCGUAUAAAAACUUUAAACACAAGUUUUAAGUUUGAAAGAUGCAAUUGCAUCACUCAAAGAUGAUCCCGCGUUGUAUUAGCUAGUUGGUGAGGUAAAGGCUCACCAAGGCGAUGAUACAUAGCCGACCUGAGAGGGUGAUCGGCCACAUUGGGACUGAGACACGGCCCAAACUCCUACGGGAGGCAGCAGUAGGGAAUCUUCGGCAAUGGACGAAAGUCUGACCGAGCAACGCCGCGUGAGUGAAGAAGGUUUUCGGAUCGUAAAACUCUGUUGGUAGAGAAGAACGUUGGUGAGAGUGGAAAGCUCAUCAAGUGACGGUAACUACCCAGAAAGGGACGGCUAACUACGUG